UUUGGAAUUUUGGAAUUUUUGGAAUUUUUGGAAUUUUGGAAUUUUUGGAAUUUUUGGAAUUUUUGGAUGUUUAGGAAUUUGAGAAUUUUUGGAAUUUUUGGAAUUUCGGAAUUUGGAAUUUUUGGAUGUUUUAGAAUUUUGGAACUUUUAAAACAUUUUAGUUUGGAAAUUUUAGAAU
ensembl:ncRNA Y13C8A.3 ncRNA